AGUGAACGCUGGCGGUAGGCCUAACACAUGCCAGUCGAACGGCAGCACAGUAAGAGCUUGCUCUUACGGGUGGCGAGUGGCGGACGGGGGAGGAAUACAUCGGAAUCUACUUUUUCGUGGGGGAUAACGUAGGGAAACUUACGCUAAUACCGCAUACGACCUACGGGUGAAAGCAGGGGACCUUCGGACCUUGCGCGAUUGAAUGAGCCGAUGUCGGAUUAGCUAGUUGGCGGGGUAAAGGCCCACCAAGGCGACGAUCCGUAGCUGGUCUGAGAGGAUGAUCAGCCACACUGGAACUGAGACAUGGUCCAGACUCCUACGGGAGGCAGCAGUGGGGAAUAUUGGACAAUGGGCGCAAGCCUGAUCCAGCCAUACCGCGUGGGUGAAGAAGGCCUUCGGGUUGUAAAGCCCUUUUGUUGGGAAAGAAAAGCAGCAGGUUAAUACCCCGCUGUUCUGACGGUACCCAAAGAAUAAGCACCGGCUAACUUCGUG
rnacentral:rRNA from 1 species